rnacentral:rRNA from 1 species
AACGAACGCUGGCGGCAGGCCUAACACAUGCAAGUCGAACGCCCGUAGCAAUACGGGAGUGGCAGACGGGUGAGUAACGCGUGGGAACGUGCCCUUCGGUUCGGAAUAACUCAGGGAAACUUGAGCUAAUACCGGAUACGUCCGUAAGGAGAAAGAUUUAUCGCCGAAGGAUCGGCCCGCGUCGGAUUAGCUAGUUGGUGAGGUAACGGCCCACCAAGGCGACGAUCCGUAGCUGGUACUGAGAGGANGAUCAGCCACACUGGGACUGAGACACGGCCCAGACUCCUACGGGAGGCAGCAGUGGGGGAAUAUUGGACAAUGGGCGAAAGCCUGAUCCAGCCAUGCCGCGUGAGUGAAGAAGGCCUUAGGGUUGUAAAGCUCUUUCAGCGGGAAGAUAAUGACGGUACCCGCAGAAGAAGCCCCGGCUAACUUCGUGCCAGCAGCCGCCGUAAU